rnacentral:snRNA from 14 species
UAGCUUUCUUGGCAAGUGGGACAUCAUUGCCAGGAAGGUGAUUUCCCCAGGGUGACGCUCAGCUUCUAUGUUCUGCGUGUGCUGGCUCCUCCGACUUUAUCAAUCGCAGGAAACACUGCUGCAUAAUAUGUGGUGAAGAGGGACAGUGUUUAUGUUAUCUCCUA